rnacentral:lncRNA from 1 species
CAAUACCGAGCAAGCAGCUCUUAAAAGGGUUAAUUUCGCUCCUGCCGAGGACACGCCCUCUCCAUCCGGGCACUCCCGGCAAAGCCCAACCCCGCCCCCUCCAUCCGGGCUUUAGACUCGCGGACUUUAACCUACCCCCUCCCUCUUGAGCCCCUUGAGAAAACCACUCCAUCAAUCAUACCCACUUAACUCUCUCUGGGCUUGAGGCCGAGGACCCCCUCCGCGCAGUGCCCCAGCCACGCGAGACGCGUCUAAGAGGCCAGCCGUGCACUCACAAACUCUCAGGACCGCCAAAGACCAGACCCCGCUGAUGAGGUUUUACCGAGCAGGCAGACGGUCGGCUGCACAAGGACCCUUCUGCUGAGACCAGCCCCAACUACACCCAAGCCAACCUCAGUCCUGGCCCCAGGGCAUGCAGACCCUCUUCCUUCAGCUCAGCUGGCUUCAACCAACAGGUUCCUCACCAACCUUAUCAAGACACCAGACCAUCAACUCCACCCUCUGGACUCUGCCCCCUCCCCCUUCCCCCUAGGCGGGUGCAGGCAGGUCUUGGUGAGCAGCACAGGUGGCCAGACUAGAUGAACGAGCCCAACAGGGAGGAGCCUUCCUCCUCAGCAACAACUAUGACUCUAGGCCUAAGCCUGGAAGUGGCCUCUGCUACAAGCCCCCCUCCAUCCACCCUCAAGGCCAUAUCCUGUUUCCCCAUCAUCUCCUUCCUCUGUGUGGCCCAAGAAGGUGACAGAGGCCCACUCCCUUCCCUCCCAAGCCUGAGACAAAAAGUUAAGUCUUUUAACUUAAGUUCAGGGCCAAGAAUCAGGUGUCCAUCCAGGGACACCAGGGGUCAGUCCUCAGUCAAACCUAACCUUAGUCUCAUUCCUCAGGGACCUAUGUUUUCCAUUCCCCUAAGCCACGGUGGUUCUCAGCCCCUGUGGACCCAGACACUUUGGCCCCCAGUCCAGUCUAUUCCCAGCCCCCAUCCUUCCCCCUGCCCCAGAGACUAAGGCCUCUGGCCCCAGCCUCCAUGAUGCAAUAUGCCGCAAUCUUCUGUGGCUGCUGAUGACACUGCCCCCAAGGAAGUGUUAUUUGUAACCCAAGCAAAGCCCCUCACCAGGGUUGUGGUCAGCUGCAGUCUGGGAAAGCCAAACAGGCAAGGCCCUUCUGCUGGAAAAGGGUUCUUGAGGCUGGAACUCUCCCAGACAGGGAGGAGAAUGUAGAACUAGGGAAGAGGGGAUGUAUUCCUGUAGUUGAUAGUAUUUGUGUGGCGGUUGUAUUGGAGGGAAGAAGUGCUGCAGAAGGCCUGGCCUAGAGAGAGAGGACCAAGAGAAGUGAAGGGGCAGCCAAGGUGGUGGGGUAGGUGAGGGGUGUCUGGAUACCAGAGUGGGGGAGGGGUCAACAGCCAUUUAAAAGACCAACUCCAGAGCUUUAAUCCCUCACCAGCCCUGGCCCCAAGUAGGAGGCUGUAAUUCAUCUGUCCAACAGCUGGGGUGGGUGUGUGGUUGGGGGGGCAUGUGGAUGGGAAAGGGGAGCUGGGGGAAGGGCAGGGGGCCUUCUUAUGCACAGAGGCAAACAACAAAAGGGGAAGCUGAAGGGCCAGCUCCCUAAGGUCCAGGCCAGGCUGCUGACCUGCAGGUGGCCCCCACCUGGUGGCCAACAAAGCUCCAUAGUUUUGACUCAAAAAUUCUUG